rnacentral:rRNA from 1 species
AGCUUCCUUCGGGAAGUGGAUUAGCGGCGGACGGGUGAGUAACACGUGGGUAACCUGCCUCAAAGUGGGGGAUAGCCUUCCGAAAGGAAGAUUAAUACCGCAUAAUAUAAGAGAAUCGCAUGAUUUUUUUAUCAAAGAUUUAUUGCUUUGAGAUGGACCCGCGGCGCAUUAGCUAGUUGGUAAGGUAACGGCUUACCAAGGCAACGAUGCGUAGCCGACCUGAGAGGGUGAUC